ensembl:misc_RNA Metazoa_SRP Metazoan signal recognition particle RNA
GCUGGGUGUGGUGGCUCACACCUGUAAUCCCAGCACUUUGGGAGGCUGAGGCGAGUGGAUCACCUGAGGUCAGGAGUUCAAAACCAGCCUGGCCAACAUGGUGAAACCUUGUUUCUA